GAUUGUGAACGUUUUCAGGCUUUGAAGGGAGUUUUGACUGGAUUUACUACAAAUGUGAAAUUGACCUGGCAAGCCUGUCUCUGUCUGAGCAUGAUCACAACAAAAGUAGCUGUGCUGCACGUUUUUUAAGGAAGAGGAGGAUGGUUGCAGACGUUCGCAUUCAUGUAAGAAGGCACUGCAGAGGCUAAGAAGACGCAUGGAAACUCUAAAAUAAACAUAAUUCAACUUGUAGACCAGAUUUGAAAAGGAAAUAAUAAAACCAGAAGCUCAGAUGUCAGACACCGAGGCUGCCAGUACCUCUGGAUUGUCCAUGUGUUGGAUGAUGCACAAC